rnacentral:rRNA from 1 species
CCUACGGGGGGCAGCAGUGAGGAAUAUUGGUCAAUGGCCGCAGGGCUGAACCAGCCAAGUCGCGUGAGGGAUGACGGUCCUAUGGAUUGUAAACCUCUUUUGUCAGGGAGCAAAGGGCGCCACGUGUGGCGCUUUGCGAGUACCUGAAGAAACAGCAUCGGCUAACUCCGUGCCAGCAGCCGCGGUAAUACGGAGGAUGCGAGCGUUAUCCGGAUUUAUUGGGUUUAAAGGGUGCGCAGGCGGAAUGUCAAGUCAGCGGUAAAAUUUCGGGGCUCAACCCCGUCGUGCCGUUGAAACUGGCGUUCUUGAGUGAGCGAGAAGUAUGCGGAAUGCGUGGUGUAGCGGUGAAAUGCAUAGAUAUCACGCAGAACUCCGAUUGCGAAGGCAGCAUACCGGCGCUCAACUGACGCUCAUGCACGAAAGCGUGGGUAUCGAACAGGAUUAGAUACCCCAGUAGUC